rnacentral:rRNA from 1 species
CGCACUGGCGCGGAGUCGGGUCCGGCGCGAGCCGCGUACUCGCCCGCAGUGCGCUACCUUCCGGCGGCGGCGCGGUGCCCUUCGGUGGGUGCCGCGCACGCGCACCGGGACGUUUACCUUGAGAAAAUUAGAGUGUUCAAAGCAGGCCGCCGCGCCUGGAUACUACAGCAUGGGAUAAUAGAAUAGGACCGCGGCCCUAUUUUGUUGGUUGCAUAGCGCCGCAGUA